GUUAAUUGUGUGCUAAUUACUUCGCAUGUGUGGCCAGUCCAAAUUUGCUGCACAAUUAACCAGUUAAUUGCAUGAUAUAUAUUUUGUACAUGUG